GGUCAAGCUAAUAAGAGCGCAGGGUGGAUGCCUUGGCACUAAGAGCCGAUGAAAGACGUGAUAAGCUGCGAUAAGCUACGGUAAGGAGCAAAUAUCCAUUGACCCGUAGAUUUCUGAAUGGGGAAACCUGACGGAGUAAACCUCCGUUACUGUAUGGUGAAUACAUAGCCAUGCAGAGGGAACCCGGGGAACUGAAACAUCUAAGUACCCGGAGGAAAAGAAAGAAAACUCGAUUUCCAAAGUAGCGGCGAGCGAAAUGGAAACAGCCUAAACCAAAGGAUUUAUCCUUUGGGGUUAUGGACCGCAAUAAGUGAGAUGUAUGAUAGUAGAACGGUUUUGGGAAAGCCGGCCAUAGAGAGUGAAAGCCUCGUAUACGAAAUCAGAAGUCAGCAAGCGGUAUCCAAAGUACCACGAGACACGAGAAACCUUGUGGGAAGUCGGGGGGACCACCCCCCAAGGCUAAAUACUACUUAGUGACCGAUAGAGCAUAGUACUGUGAAGGAAAGGUGAAAAGAACCCCGGGAGGGGAGUGAAAGAGAACCUGAAACCCUGUGUUUACAAGCUGUGGAACACCCUUAUGUGGUGAACCGCGUACUUUUUGUAGAACGGUCCGGCGAGUUACUUUUACUGGCAAGGUUAAGAACGAAAAGUUUGAAGCCGAAGGGAAACCAAGUCUGAAU
rnacentral:rRNA from 1 species